rnacentral:lncRNA from 1 species
UCUGGUUCCAUCCAGGCCCAAGGACCACUGAACUGGAGCGGUCUUCUCCAUCCCCCAGCAAGCUUGUGCGUGAGCUGGGGACAAGGGGCAGAGGAGGCAGAGGUCCCCCUCACACCAGGAAGGGAACAGCGCCACUAAAGGGCCUGGUGGAGGCAGGGUGGAGGUGGAAGGAGACUCAGCAGAAGGGAUGAGGAAACUGAGGCUGAGAGGGUAGAGAACUUUGCCUGAGGUCACUCAGCAGGGACCCACCCAUCACAGUAAAUGCCAGCACUGCUGAUGCCAAAACAAUGUUAUUUGUUGAGCCCGGUGCCCCCUCGCCCUCCUCAGCAGUGCCUGCACGUCCCCUCGCCACAAUGUCAUGUGCCACCUCUUCAAAGGAGGGAUGUACCAGCUAGUGGACGUGACCUUGACUGCAAAGGGCGGCGCGCAGCUGAUGUAAUGGUCGCUUAAGUGUUCACAAAUGUAAGUCAUUACUAUUAUAAGUGGUGGGUGAUCAAGUGGCUAGGGGUGCC